UAGUAUUUGCUCAGCUCUUGGAAAAUGAUAGAUAUUUUUUCUGAGCAUAUCUGAUGUUGCUGCUGACAGCUGCAGAAGUGGGGAACAACUGAGAUUCUAUCAGAUAAUUACAUUUGGAAAGUGCACUUAUUCCUCCUUUGCAGUUUUGAAUUCAUUACAUUUCAACUUCAUUUAACAUGCCCAUAUUCAUUUGCUUUGAAGCAGUGGGAGUAGCAUUUCUUCUCUGACCUUUUCUAGAUUAUUCAGUAUCAAUAUAUUUUUCUUAUUACUUAAUUUAGUCAUUUCUUUUCAAUACUAAACAAUUCUCAAUAUAUUUUUCUUAUUACUUAAUUUAGUCAUUUCUUUUCAAUACUAAACAAUUCUGUUGUUUUCCAGGGUUGGUUUUUUUUUUUUUUUUUUUUUGAUACUUAUUCCAGGUUUUUGGACCAUCGACCACACUUCUCGGGUCCUCUAGCUGCUCUACAGCACCCUGCCUAAGACAAGAUGAGGAACGAUGCAUUCCAUUCAAGACAAGGUCUCUCAUUAGACAUGCUGCUUUCACCAUGGCCAAGAGCACUGGGACAAUGCAGGAUCUGCCUCUGCUGAAAAUCAUCUUCAAAUAUGGCUGCCACUUCUGGGACUUUUCUGCUUCUCAGGUAGGGCAAAAACCCCAAAGACAAAGAACGUGACCUUUUCUAGCAGGUGGCAAUCAAAGUCCCUUCUCACAGUCAAGGUUACAGGAUUUAUUUCAUGACGACAUACCGCUGGGGACCUGGUAUGGACUGCCAUACUGCCACAAUAUGUUCCUUUAUAACUUGGUAAGUAGAAGAGAGCAGAUAAUGAAAUUUUCUGAAGAGGUGAAGCUGCGAGACAUUGUCAACACACCAAAGGUGAGAAUUUCAUAAAAUAAGAGUAAGAUGAUCUAGAGGAACAGAAGAGUAGAAACUAGAUCAAGUUCAAUAGUUGGAGAUGCAAGAUCUUGAGAACUGUUAAAUCACCAGCUCUGAGCUAAAGAAAGUUAGCUGAAAAUUACCAAGGAGAAAAAAAUAUUCAGGUGUAUUUGGCAGUGAGGGAUUGAACACGACAAUGUAUGACAUUUUCCCUAGUAUGUAGGUCUCCAAUGAUUAUGUCUCAUUACAUGUCAUGAAUUUUAGACCAGAGAAUACUGUGAAAACAGGAAAGCCUUCAAGUCUUUUUCUUAGACAGUGCUAGGAAAGUAGGCC
rnacentral:lncRNA from 1 species